GGAUCGAUGGUGUAGUGGUAACACAUUGCAUCCGGACGCAGUGAGGAGUGGUUCGAUUCCCUCCUGGUCCG
rnacentral:tRNA from 1 species